AGAGUUUGAUCCGGGCUCAGAUUGAACGCGGGGGGCAUGCCUUACACAUGCAAGUGGAACGGCAGCACGGGAGCAAUCCUGGUGGCGAGUGGCGAACGGGUGAGUAAUAUAUCGGAAUUUGCCCACUCCUCGGCGAUAACGUAGAGAAAUUUACGCUAAUACCGCAUACGAUCUAAGGAUGAAAGCGGGGGACUGCCAAGGGCCUCGCGCGAUUGGAGCGGCUGAUAUCAGAUUAGGUUGUUGGGGAGGUAAAAGCUCACCAAGCCGACGAUCUGUAGCUGGUUUGAGAGAACGACCAGCCACACUGGGACUGAGACACGGCCCAGACUCCUACGGGAGGCAGCAGUGGGGAAUUUUGGCCAAUGGGGGAAAGCCUGAUCCACCAAUGCCGCGUGCAGGAAGAAGCCCUUGGGGUUGUAAACUGCUUUUGUACGGAAGGAAACGGUCUGCCCUAAUACGGGGGGCUAAUGAGGGUACGGUAAGAAUAAGCACCGGCUA
rnacentral:rRNA from 1 species